rnacentral:rRNA from 1 species
AUGAACGCUAGCUACAGGCUUAACACAUGCAAGUCGAGGGGCAUCAGGAAGAAAGCUUGCUUUCUUUGCUGGCGACCGGCGCACGGGUGAGUAACACGUAUCCAACCUGCCCUUUACUCGGGGAUAGCCUUUCGAAAGAAAGAUUAAUACCCGAUAGCAUAAUGAUUCCGCAUGGUUUCAUUAUUAAAGGAUUCCGGUAAAGGAUGGGGAUGCGUUCCAUUAGGUUGUUGGUGAGGUAACGGCCCACCAAGCCUUCGAUGGAUAGGGGUUCUGAGAGGAAGGUCCCCCACAUUGGAACUGAGACACGGUCCAAACUCCUACGGGAGGCAGCAGUGAGGAAUAUUGGUCAAUGGGCGCUAGCCUGAACCAGCCAAGUGGCGUGAAGGAUGAAGGCUCUAUGGGUCGUAAACUUCUUUUAUAUAAGAAUAAAGUGCAGUAUGUAUACUGUUUUGUAUGUAUUAUAUGAAUAAGGAUCGGCUAACUCCGUGCCAGCAGCCGCGGUAAUACGGAGGAUCCGAGCGUUAUCCGGAUUUAUUGGGUUUAAAGGGAGCGUAGGUGGACUGGUAAGUCAGUUGUGAAAGUUUGCGGCUCAACCGUAAAAUUGCAGUUGAUACUGUCAGUCUUGAGUACAGUAGAGGUGGGCGGAAUUCGUGGUGUAGCGGUGAAAUGCUUAGAUAUCACGAAGAACUCCGAUUGCGAAGGCAGCUCACUGGACUGCAACUGACACUGAUGCUCGAAAGUGUGGGUAUCAAACAGGAUUAGAUACCCUGGUAGUCCACACAGUAAACGAUGAAUACUCGCUGUUUGCGAUAUACAGUAAGCGGCCAAGCGAAAGCAUUAAGUAUUCCACCUGGGGAGUACGCCGGCAACGGUGAAACUCAAAGGAAUUGACGGGGGCCCGCACAAGCGGAGGAACAUGUGGUUUAAUUCGAUGAUACGCGAGGAACCUUACCCGGGCUUAAAUUGCAGUGGAAUGAUGUGGAAACAUGUCAGUGAGCAAUCACCGCUGUGAAGGUGCUGCAUGGUUGUCGUCAGCUCGUGCCGUGAGGUGUCGGCUUAAGUGCCAUAACGAGCGCAACCCUUAUCUUUAGUUACUAACAGGUUAUGCUGAGGACUCUAGAGAGACUGCCGUCGUAAGAUGUGAGGAAGGUGGGGAUGACGUCAAAUCAGCACGGCCCUUACGUCCGGGGCUACACACGUGUUACAAUGGGGGGUACAGAAGGCAGCUAGCGGGUGACCGUAUGCUAAUCCCAAAAUCCUCUCUCAGUUCGGAUCGAAGUCUGCAACCCGACUUCGUGAAGCUGGAUUCGCUAGUAAUCGCGCAUCAGCCACGGCGCGGUGAAUACGUUCCCGGGCCUUGUACACACCGCCCGUCAAGCCAUGGGAGCCGGGGGUACCUGAAGUACGUAACCGCAAGGAUCGUCCUAGGGUAAAACUGGUGACUGGGGCU